UGAAGCUGGAAUUGCUAGUAAUGGCAGGUCAGCAUACUGCCGUGAAUACGUUCCCGGGCCUUGUACACACCGCCCGUCACACCAUGGGAGUUGGAAGCGCCCGAAGUCUGUGACCUAACCGAAAGGGAGGAGCAGCCGAAGGUGAAGCCAGUGACUGGGGUGAAGUCGUAACAAGGUAUC
rnacentral:rRNA from 1 species